GAGAAAAUAAUAAAAC
rnacentral:sRNA from 1 species